UGUCGUCACCUGCCUCUCAUUACCUGUCUUUAUUUAAGUCCUGUCUGCGUGUCACUCUCCGUCUGAUUGUUCUCGUCUCAUGUCUUCUUGAUUCUAGUCUCCAGUCUGUUCUGUUCUAGUCUUGUCCCUAGUCGAGCCUCUAGUCUAUCUUUUGAGUUCUUCAAUAAACCCUGGUCCAAGCUGCA